UCUGCAAAGCUUGACUUGAAAAUUACCCUUUGCAUGUCUAAGUAUAAGUAUUAUAAAGCGAAACUGCAAAGGGCUCAUUAAAACAGUUGUAAUUUAUUUGAUGAUUUUCUUACAUGGAUAACCGGGGGAAACUAGGGCUAAUACAUGCGUGAGACCUGCAAAGGUCGUAUUUAUUAUUUUCAAACCAAUACAAAAAUGUAUUGGGAGGAAUCAAAAUAACUGAUCGGAGCUGAUUUAUCACCUGAAUCAUUCAACCUUCUGACCUAUCACCUUGAUGUUAGUGUAUGGAACUAACAUGGCGGUAACAGGUAACAAAAAAUUGGGGUUCAAUUCUGGAAAAUCACCCUGAGAGACGGCUGAUAUUUCUACGGAAGGCAGCAGGCGUGAAAAUUACCCAAUCACAAUUCGGGGAGGUAGUUAAUAAACAUAACAUUCUCGGCCCAUCGGGUUCUGAGAGAGUAAUGAAUUCAAUUUAAAAAAUUGAACAAAUUCCAUUGA
rnacentral:rRNA from 1 species